UCACUCUCAUUUUUCUCUAUUUACAAAUUUUCGCUCUACCAUUUUCUUGCCUGCAAUUUGGAGGUGUUUUCAUUUUCUACCAAUUUCAUUGCCCAUGGUUAGCCCAGCUUCACAUUUUCCAAUUAGUUAAAGGAUUUCUGCGAAUUGGAGGCGUUUUCGUUGCACAUGGUCAGUCCAGCUUGACAUUUUCCAAUUAUUUAAAGAUAGUGAAAUGAAUAAAAUUCCGGGAAGAGAGUGGAUGUAUGAGAGAAAAUUUCCUACAGGAGAAUUGAAUCUGGAAUUUAUUGAUGGAUUAGAUAAGUUUAUAAGUUUUGCUGUGCAACAUCCCUCGAGAAUGGAUGGUUUGAAAAUUCGAUGUCCAUGUGCACGCUGUGAUAACAAAAAAUUUCAUCAUACGGACAUGGUGGAGGAGCAUCUUGUGAAAAAAGGAUUUACUCGAAAUUAUUAUGAUUGGAGAUUUCAUGGUGAUGUUGAAGCGCCGUCUUGUGAUGUUGAAGCGUCCUCCAGCUCAAGACAGAUCAUGUAGUGAAGCUGUGAAACUUAUUCAUUUCGCCCAUUCUCAGUAGCUAAUGUUCCACAAAAGUUGCAGAUUACUGAAGAAACAUGUACUAUAAUUGAUACUAUCACUUAAUGAUGUUUUUUGAAAAGUAUAUCUAUCAA